rnacentral:lncRNA from 1 species
GAAAGACACAGAGAUGCAGCACAGGACAACUCUGAUGGGCAAUACCUCCUCCACAGAUUCCCAGGGCUAUCUAUCUUCCCAUCUAUAUUUGGAUUCUCCUAAGACUAGAACUACAUAGUCUUCAUGAUAGAGUCUCAGCAAUUCUCUCCUGAUGCUAAUGCAGAGUUUGGUGUGUAAAGUUGAAUUUGGGGUGCCACCAUUCAUCUGAUUCUUUGGUAUGAGGGCUCCUGGGCCUGAGGGCCAUUUCAGGGUCACUGAGGCAAACAACUUGGGUCAAGGGUCCUCCUUUCUCAGCCCAUCACCUCACCUGGCCAGUGGGGAGUUGUGCCAGCCCAGAUUCAGAACUUUUCUGUUAAAAUGUGGAAUUCAGAGGGCUGGCCCCGUGCCUGAGCGGUUCAAUUCGAGCACUCUGCUGCAGGCGGCCCAGUGUUUCGCCGGUUCGAAUCCUGUGCACGGACAUGGCACUGCUCAUCAAACCACGCUGAGGCGGCGUCCCACAUGCCACAACUAGAAGGACCCACAACGAAGAAUAUACAACUAUGUACCGGGAGGCUUUGGGGAAAAAAAGGAAAAAAAUAAAUAAAUAAAAUUUUAAAAAGGUG